GGGCGUUUCGUCUAAUCGGAAAGGAUGCCAGGCUUCUAACCUGGAUGAUAACAGUUCAAGUCUGUUAGCGCCCA
rnacentral:tRNA from 1 species